UCUUAAAUGCUCUCAAGAGGAUCUGGUUUAAUGGGGUCUUACAUUGAGCUUUCUGUACACUCACUUUCCCCUUUGCUGUCUCUGGCUGUUUUGUGAGGUGAUACUUUUCAUAAUUUUCCACCACCCAUCUUUGUAAAAUUUUACAAAUAAGUUUAUAGUCUAAGUUGGUGUUGCACUUGGCUGCCAUAUCUAUCUUCUUGGCAAUGAGAUGAAGUGUUUGUUGGCUGAGAUGAUGUCUAGGUUUUCUUGAUAUUCUUGUUGUACCCACUGCUUUACUUCAGUUAAAUUUCUGUAGAAAAUGGUAAUAAUCCACAUGGAUGUCUGUUCCUCCAGCCAUUUCCUGACAGGGGCGCCCUGGACCCUGGCUUCCUAGGAAGGGUCGUGGUAGACCCCCGGCUGUAGGUUGCUGAGUUACGCUCAGCUGACGGUUACGGGGUGGCUCCGCCUCUAGGAUAGAACAGGGGAGGGGCGCAGAGUCUCACGAGGCUCGGAGGGGUGGGCUCUUGUAAGUGUAUAUAACGGGCUAAGAGCAAGGGAUCGGGGGAGUCCUCUGCAAUAAAGAUCUUACACCGCACUCGCGUCCUGUCUGGUCCUUGAGCCCAUCUUUUCCCCAGGGUGGGUCCGGAGACGUCCGAAGCCUAGCUCCCAGGAAGAAGUACCUGAAGGAUCCGGCCCGGGUCAAUUUCCCAUGUUUUUUCAGCAACAACAGCUUGCUUAAAUAGGCCAGGGACUCAGACAUGGAGUCAGGAAGAAUUGUGUUCAAUUUCCCCUGUGUGUCCCUGAGAAAAUCACUUCUUAAUGCUCUGAGCAACUCUAGUGCCAACUUGCAUUGAAUAUAAAAGGAAUUUCUUCAUUUGGGACCAGAAAGAUUAAUCUGGAAGGACUGUACAGGAUGGACUGGAGAGAGCAGAUUCUGAAAGAUGGAACACCCAAUGCAAAGCAGUUACAUUUAUAAUAUCAAUGAAGUCACAGGUCCAGUCACUGCCACUGUCAUUCUUUUAGUGAGAAUGUCAAUACUGCUAUGAUUCAGUUCUUCGAGCAGUCAGAUGACUUGUUGGUCAUUAUCCAAGGAUCUCACAUUUAGAGUACAAACAGUGAAGUUCAUGUUUAUAGCUAGUCUAUAAAGUGAUGCUAUUUAGCACCUUCUGCUCCCCUUUCAGCCAGUCUGCCACAUGACUGGGGAAACAGAAGGUGGCUACAUAAGACUGAGGGCCAUUUUGUAUUUUUCCUUGUUUCAUGGGUUUCCAAAGAUGAAAAAAAAAAUCACUACCAAGAAGCCUGUCUAUUUGUUAUGAACCUUUCUAUCCUUAAUCAAGGCUGAAUCCCAGAAAGCAGAUACGAUCUAUUACUGAAGUAAAGCAGUGGGUACAACAAACCAUUCUAGCACGUAGCAGAACCUGCCAGAGCUUGUGCUGCAAGCAUCACCUUUGACAACUCAGGGUCCCCUCCGUACCAUCAUAAGACACUGGAAUUGGACUUCUAUGGAAUGCACAAAGGAAUCUAAUAAAUCAUUAUUGGCUUGAAAUUGAUUCAACAGCCUUAACGCAGACACAAAAAGCUUUUCCACAUCAUUAUGGCAAUUCACUUUUAAUCUAAUACUAACCCUAAACUUCUCCAAACAGAUCUGCUUAACUGUGAGUAUGCAGUCACAUGUUCCCAGACAUUCUAAUGGAAUAAUCUAAGUUACCUGAGCUUGCACCUCAAUAAAAGAAAAAAAGACUGAAAAAUAUUUAUCAAUUCAAAAAUGUACUAUUUGAAGGAAAGGGAAAUAUGGGGUUGACAGUUGUGAAACUCUAGCACAAUGAUUUUCUUUUAAAACAUACCCUGCCAUGAAUGACAGAAAUAUGACAUAGCUGAUAAUUCAACCAAAAAAAACUCUAGAUUCAAAGUCUGUGUUUAUCUGCAAAUGUCUCAAAAAGGAAGUAAUAAAUGGUACCAAGAACAGUA